UACGGGGGGAGCAAGCGUUGUUCGGAUUUACUGGGCGUAAAGGGCGCGUAGGCGGCCAGCACAAGUCAGUUGUGAAAUCUCCGAGCUUAACUCGGAAACUGCCGUUGAUACUAUAUAUCUUGAAUGCUGUGGAGGUAAGCAGAAUACGUCAUGUAGCGGUGAAAUGCUUAGAUAUGACAUAGAAUACCUAUUGCGAAGGCAGCUUACUACGCAGAUAUUGACGCUCAUGCACGAAAGCGUGGGGAUCAAACAGG
rnacentral:rRNA from 1 species